rnacentral:rRNA from 2 species
GGACUACUGGGGUUUCUAAUCCUGUUUGAUCCCCACACUUUCGUGCCUCAGCGUCAGUUACAGUCUAGUAAGCUGCCUUCGCUAUCGGUGUUCUUGACGAUAUCUAAGCAUUUCACCGCUACACCGUCAAUUCCGCCUACCUCGUCUGUACUCAAGUCCAACAGUAUCAAUGGCACCUCGACAGUUGAGCUGCCGUAUUUCACCACUGACUUAUUGAACCGCCUACGCACCCUUUAAACCCAAUAAAUCCGGACAACGCUUGCCACCUACGUAUUACCGCGGCGGCUGGCAC